rnacentral:misc_RNA from 1 species
GGAUGAAGAACGUAGCGAAAUGCGAUACUUGGUGUGAAUUGCAGAAUCCCGUGAACCAUCGAGUCUUUGAACGCAAGUUGCGCCCGAAGCCAUUAGGCCGAGGGCACGCCUGCCUGGGCGUCACACGUCGUUGCCCCCCCAUCUACUCCUUCGGGAUUGCGGGGGGCGGAUGAUGGCCUCCCGUGCGCCUCGUCGCGCGGUUGGCAUAAAUGCCAAGUCCUCGGCGACGCACGCCACGACAAUCGGUGGUUGCGAAACCUCGGUUGCCCGUCGUGUGCGGUCGUCGCGCAUCGAGGGCUCGAAAAAAUUGCCGGGCUCCGGCUCGGCUUUCAACGCGACCCCAGGUCAGGCGGGGUUACCCGCUGAAUUUAAGCAUAUCAAUAAGCGGAGGA